UGUCGUUGAUCUGAUGGGUAAUUACCUUUGAAAGACAGGAAAAACAGGCACCGAGCACCGCAUCUUGGCCUGGUAGCGGCCUUCUUCGGUGUUGGGCCACCAGAUUUCGUCCUUUUUCAACCAAUGGUCUAUAUCUGUAAAGAGUAGGAACACGAGCCAUGUGAAAGAUUCCCGAAAUCAGUCCCUUUGAUGUAGAAGGCCCCACGGAUGAUCGGGAAUACUGUUUCAUAUGCGCUUUGAUCCGUUUGUUAGAUCUACAUUAAAAUUAAUUUUCCAGAUCAAGUAGGCCGAGAAUUGGGCUGUAAGUACGCGCCUUCUUGGCCAUGUUUGCUGUGGCCUGUGACUACCUUUGAAGCAGGUCCCACAGAAUAACUUCCAUAUGGUUUUUAUAGAACAUUUUCAGGAACAUUGCAGGACCAUGCAGGAGCGCACUAGCAUGCCAGAUAUGAAGAAACCUGUGGAGUAGAAAAUGAAUAAUGAGUAAGACCAUGCAGACGAUAAAUAUUAAAUGAAAAGACUGAAAAAAUUCGCAUAAAUUGUAUGCAAUAUCAUUUAGAAAUGUUUAAUUCGCAAGCACGAGUUUUUUUGAGAGCCAUAGUCCGAAGUUAAGCGCAUUAAAGAUAAUUGAAAUUUAUAUUAUGUAAAUUGCCAGUAGCGGGAAAAGUAAAAGUGGCAAAUGGGUGCAAAAACUGUUUCCCAAGAAUACAAAAAAAAGGAAAGCAAAAAAUUUUUUUCUCAUCAUA
rnacentral:sRNA from 1 species